rnacentral:lncRNA from 1 species
AAUACGGAAUUAUGAGAAUAAGAACUGAAUUGAAUGAUAACCCUCAAAAGAGGCCGCAGAGACUAAACUCUGUCACAGCGUCAAACGCUAACAACAAUAAUAUCUGGAUGCCCUAAUUUACUGAAAAGAAGGAAAUAAAUACUUAGUUCCUACUAAGGCCCAUGCAUAAGACAUAAAGCCCGUACAACCCAAAAAGAAUUAAACUAAAUAAAUAAAAGAAUUCA